rnacentral:rRNA from 1 species
GUUGUUGCAGUUAAAAAGCUCGUAGUUGAAUUUCGGGAUCAAUGUUUCGGUCAUGCCGUUGGUAUGUACUGAUAUUAUUGGUUUCUCACCUUCUAAAGAACCGUAAUGCCAUUAAUUUGGUGUCACGGGGAAUUAGGACUGUUACCUUGAAAAAAUUAGAGUGUUUAAAGCAGGCUCACGCUUGAAUACAUUAGCAUGGAAUAAUGAAAUAGGACAUCCGAUUCUAUUUUGUUGGUUUCUAGGAUCGAUGUAAUGAUUAAUAGGGAUAGUUGGGGGCAUUAGUAUUCAAUUGUCAGAGGUGAAAUUCUUGGAUUUAUUGAAGACUAACUACUGCGAAAGCAUUUGCCAAGGAUGUUUUCAUUAAUCAAGAACGAAAGUUAGGGGAUCGAAGACGAUCAGAUACCGUCGUAGUCUUAACCAUAAACUAUGCCGACUAGGGAUCGGAUGAUGUUAAUUUUUUAAUGACCCAUUCGGCGCCUUACGGGAAAC